CCCAGGGACAGCACUCUCUAGACUUUGGCUUCUCUGUCACCACACACACUGGAAUUCAAGCCUUCUUCACAGUGUAAAUAUAAAAAUGAUUGAAGUCAAGGUUUUAGGGCAAUCUUUUGUUAAAAUAGACUCUAUUUUAAUAUAUAUGCUAUAAAAAGGUCAUGUUUAGGGCUGUUAAAAUUAAGAAUUUACUUUUUUUUUUAACAUAUGGAAUAAUGUACAUCCAACUCUUCAAAGUCUAUUCCAGGAAAAUUCAAACUGUGGCCCCAAAUAGUUCCAGCUUCAGGUUUCCUUUAUAGUAAGAAUGGUUAUAUAAUACAUAUAUUUAGUGCUGUCUUAUAAUUCUGUAGUGUGAUGCCUGACUAAUUUAAAUACAAAUGCAGAGGGAGCUGUGUGUUUUCCCUUGUGCAAAUUACUAAGUUUUAAAUAUAAGCUCCUAUCAUAGAACUUCUAUUUCAUUUUUUCAAAAA